rnacentral:rRNA from 1 species
UUGGUUCAGGACGAACGCUGGCGGCGUGCUUAACACAUGCAAGUCGAACGGGAGUAUUGAAGAAGCUUGCUUUAGAGAUACUUUAGUGGCGGACGGGUGAGUAACGCGUGAGGAGCUGUCCUAUGCAGGGGGACAACAGCUGGAAACGGCUGCUAAUACCCCAUAAGCCGAGAGGUAAAAGGAUCAAUCCGGCAGAGGAGGUACUCGCGUCCUAUCAGCUAGUAGGUGAGGUAACGGCUCACCUAGGCGAAGACGGGUAGCCGGCCUGAGAGGGCGAACGGCCACACUGGAACUGAGAUACGGUCCAGACUCCUACGGGAGGCAGCAGUGGGGAAUAUUGGGCAAUGGGGGGAAAAACCCCCUGACCCAGCGACGCCGCGUGGGUGAAGAAAUCCUUCGGGAUGUAAAGCCCUGUUGUAUGGGAAGAGCGGAAGACGGUACCAUACGAGGAAGCCCCGGCAAACUACGUGCCAGCCGCCGC